rnacentral:rRNA from 1 species
GUCUACGGUCACGCCACCCUGAACACACCCGAUCCCGUCUGAUCUCGGAAGCCAAGCAGGGUCGGGCCCGGUUAGUACUUCGAUGGCAGACAACCUAGGAAGACCAGGCGCUGGAGGAG